UACGGAGGGUGCGAGCGUUACUCGGAAUCACUGGGCGUAAAGCGCGCGUAGGCGGCUUUUCAAGUCAGGGGUGAAAUCCCACGGCCCAACCGUGGAACUGCCUUUGAAACUGUAGAGCUUGAGUGUCGGAGAGGGUGGCGGAAUUCCAGGUGUAGGAGUGAAAUCCGUAGAUAUCUGGAGGAACACCGGUGGCGAAGGCGGCCACCUGGACGACAACUGACGCUGAGGUGCGGAAGCGUGGGUAGCAAACAGG
rnacentral:rRNA from 1 species